GGUCCCGUGGCUUAGUUGGUAAAGCGUGAGACUAAUAAUCUGGGAUGAGUGAUCCAUCACAUCUCCUUUGAGUAAUAGCCACCUCAAGAUCCUGGGUUCGAGCCCCAGCGGGACCA